GAGAGCACAUGGGAGGCCUUACUGCCAGUUAAAUACCAAUUGUGAUCUCACCAACCUGGGAACUCAGGUGAAAUUAUAGGGAAUUCUGGGAAAUACCAAGGACUUCUGGGGAUUGAAAUCUGGGGUUCAAAAUCUCCAUUUUUACACAGCUCAUAUCUCUCUCACAUCAGAUAUAAUGUUAAACUUGGAGUGAAUAAGAUGACUUCAAAUCCAGUUUCUGAUCCUUCUACUUCUGUUACAUUGGAACAGAGAAGUCAUCCUGAGAAACCAUUUAUUGCAGAGAAUAUUUCUGCGAGGCCCAAAUCACUGUGAUUUAAUUCAGACCCCUGUGACACGAUGGACUGACUAAGCAGACUGUGGAAAAUGUGUUACCCUUCUUCUGUAAAACAUAAUUACUGAGGAAGAUGGUCCCCCUGCAGCUUUUUGUUGAUGUACCAUUUUUCUGACUUCCUGAAGGGAAUCACCACCAAAAGCUUUUUGUCCAUGUACCCAUCCCUUUCUCUUUCUCACCUUUGGUGAACAGAUAGACUUUCCCAGGCUUUCCUGGACUUACUCCUUUGUUCCUUCCAUGUUCUGCAAAACUCAAACUAAGGUGAUUAAUUUGGUCAAUCAGCUCAUUUGACUUUUUAGCACCUUCUUUUGGUCAAUGGCAGAAUUGACAAAGAGGGGAAAUGAUUUUAUUUUCAGAUUAUCUCCUUACUGACAUCACAGUGUUAAAACAAAGCAUAACAGCAAAUAAUGCUUGAAUUAACUAUGAACUUGUCUUGCCAUUUCUCCCAGGAUUUUGCUUAAGUACUAAAGUUAAAAAGGACAAUAAAACUAAAGAUAUGAAAGACCA
rnacentral:lncRNA from 1 species